rnacentral:rRNA from 1 species
CGAUGAUGCUCCNGCUUUGUUGGGGUGGAUUAGUGGCGAACGGGUGAGUAACACGUGAGUAACCUGCCCUCUUCUUUGGGAUAACGGUCGGAAACGGCUGCUAAUACUGGAUAUUCACUCAUUGGCGCAUGUUGGUGGGUGGAAAGGUUUUUCUGGUGGGGGAUGGGCUCGCGGCCUAUCAGCUUGUUGGUGGGGUGAUGGCCUACCAAGGCUUUGACGGGUAACCGGCCUGAGAGGGUGACCGGUCACAUUGGGACUGAGAUACGGCCCAGACUCCUACGGGAGGCAGCAGUGGGGAAUUUUGCACAAUGGGCGCAAGCCUGAUGCAGCGACGCCGCGUGAGGGAUGAAGGCCUUCGGGUUGUAAACCUUUUUCGCUCAUGGUCAAGCCGCAGCUUUGGGUUGUGGUGAGGGUAGUGGGUAAAGAAGCGCCGGCUAACUACGUGCCAGCAGCCGCGGUAAUACGUAGGGCGCGAGCGUUGUCCGGAAUUAUUGGGCGUAAAGGGCUUGUAGGCGGUUGGCCGCGUCUGCCGUGAAAUCCUCUGGCUUAACUGGGGGCGUGCGGUGGGUACGGGUUGACUUGAGUGCGGUAGGGGAGACUGGAAUUCCUGGUGUAGCGGUGGAAUGCGCAGAUAUCAGGAGGAACACCGGUGGCGAAGGCGGGUCUCUGGGCCGUUACUGACGCUGAGGAGCGAAAGCGUGGGGAGCGAACAGGAUUAG